GUUACUACUACACUCUUCUUCUUCUUCUUCUUCUUCUUCUCCUUCUUCUC
rnacentral:sRNA from 1 species